rfam:Aspergillus nomius NRRL 13137 contig00809, whole genome shotgun sequence.
UAGUUUCUAAGAGAAAUCGAAUAAUAAACGAAGUGAAUUGAAAUAUCUUAGUAACUUUAGGAAAAGAAAUCAAACGAGAUUGUUAUUUGGUGCAAACUAAAUAACAAGAGCCUAUUAACAAAACUUGUUAAAGUAAAAUGGAUUAAAAUCUGUUUGAAUAUAGGGGAACCUUCCUCUAAGGCUAAAUAUGAUAUAUAAGCGAUAGUGAAAAGUACCGUGAGGUAAAAUUUGAAAUAGUAGUUUUAUAAGCAGCUCGAGUGAAAAUUUAAAUAAGUAAUAAGAGUGUACCUUUUGCAUAAUGGGUCAGCAAGUUAAUUUUAGAUGCAAGCAAUGAUUUCGUGCGCUUUGCGCAUGAAACUAGCUUAGAUAAACCAAUUAUGAGAAAAUGAAUAAGUAUCUAGAAUUAGACCCGAAGGCUAGUGAUCUUACCAUGGUCAGGGUUAUAAAAGCCCGAACGGGUUAUCGUUGUAUAGAUAUCCGAAGAAUUGUGGUAAGUUAGUGAAAGACAAAACUGACUAGUAUAGCUGGUUUUCCGCGAAACCUAUAUGAGUAGGUAAUUUAACUAACAUCUUAGCAGGUACAGAACUGUGAUCUCGGACAAUAUCUUUUGAUUUUGUCAACAUCGGGGGGUUGUAGUGACUUUACCGGAGAGUAUUUGCACUCGGAAUGGCAAAGAUGAAUGUUGAAUAAUCAGACAUAGUGCGAUAAGGUUGUAUGUCUAAAGGGAAACAGCCCAGAACAAGAGUUAAGGUUCCAAAAUUAUUGUUGAGUGAAAUUAAGGAUGUUUUUUUUAAAAACAAUCAGGAAAUAGGCUUAGAAGCGGCCAUUUUUUGAAGACCUCGUAACAGAGCACUGAUUAAUUUAUUUAGAAAAAAACACCGAAAAUUUAACGGAUCUAAACAAUAUACCGAAACCUUGUACACAUAUUUAUAAUAUUAAUAUUGUAUAUGUGGGGUAGCGGAACAUUGGAUAAAUAUUAAUUAUUAUUUCUUCUAAGAAAUAAUAAGUAUGGAUUAUUAUUAAAAAUAUUUAUUUAUUAAAGAUAUUUAUGUAAUAUUAUUAUACCUAAAAGGUAUAAUGUUUAGAUGAAUAUAUAGAUAGAUUAAAUCUGUCUUUAUUAUUAAUAUAAUCCAUCGAUAUAAUCCAAGAGAGAAUGCUGACAUGAGUAACGAAAAAGGAAUAUCCUCGCCUUAAGCUUAUGGUAUUUUAUUUAAUUUUCGGUAUCUAAAAAUAUUAAUCAAAAGGUAAUUUUGAUGAUAUUUAUAUAUAAAUACUUAAAAAAUAAAAAACAAAACCUUUAACAAGUAAUAAAGGUUCUGGAAAAUUUUUUAUGAUAAGCGAAUAAAUAAUCUUUAUUUCGUGAGUAUAAUGCAAUAUAGGUAUGUUAUAUCAUAUAUAAUUUUCUUGUUACAAGUUUUCAAGAUUGUAUAGAUUUUAUCUAUAUUGAAUAUAUUUUAUUCUUAUACUAUUGUAUAAGUAAGGUUUAUAUAUACCGUACCUAGAUACUAUCACAAGUAAGCAAGUAGAGAAUACAAAGGCGUUUGAGUGAACAAUCAUUAAGGAACUCGGCAAAUUGACUACCGUAACUUCGGGAUAAGGAGGGCCAUUAUGAUUAGUUUAACAUAUCUUAUGAUAUGAUUUAAUUAAACUAAUCAUAAGAGGAAACAUGAAAUAAUGUUGUACGACUGUUUAAUAAAAACACAGCACUCUGCAAAGAUAAAAUAUCAAAGUAUUGAGUGUGAUGUCUGCCCAAUGUCGGCUGGGUAACGGAUUUACCUUGGUUUUUAACUGAGGUUUUGAAGGAUACCCCGAUUAAUGGCGGCCUUACCUAUGAGGGUCCUAAGGUAGCGAAAUACCUUGGCCGUUAAAUGCGGUCCUGCAUGAAUGACUUAACGAUACAACAGCUGUCUCGAUGAUUGUCUCAGUGAAAUUGGAAUAGCAGUGCAGAUACUGUUUACCUCUAGAUAGACGAGAAGACCCUAUGCAGCUUUACUGUUACUAAUUGCAAGAGUGAAAAUUUAGGAUGAUUUCGAGUGUAUAAGGUAGUUGUUUGAUAACAAUGAAACACCUUUAUUCGUUUCCUACUAUAUGCUCUUGAGGAUUGGGAGGCAGUUUAUGCGGGGCACAGAUCCCACAAAAAGUACCUGGGUAUAUCCAAAGUUCAUUUUGUAAAUUUGUAAAUUUCUUUACAAAUAUUUUAAUUUGUUAUAAUUAUAUUCAUAAUUAUACAGUUAUUGUUAGAUUAAGUUCAAUAUUUAUUUUUUAUUUAAGUAAGAUUUUAACUAUAUGGUGAAUAGAUGUAUUUUAAACUUUACCCGGGGAGGGAGUGAUUCCCUCCGGGAUAUUUAAAAGUUUUUUCUCAUAUUAAUAUUGUAUUUUAUCUUUAUUGAUAUGAUAAUUAAUUAUACUUUAAAAGUUUAAUGGCUAAAUCUUGCUUUACUGUUUGACCUACAAGUCUAUCAGUCGCGUAAGCGGGGCAUAUGAUCACAAGAUGCAUAAAGGAAAGGUCUUGGAUUAAAGAAAAAGUUACGCUAGGGAUUUAUAUCUGUGAGUCCUCCAAUAU